rnacentral:rRNA from 1 species
CACGUAGGGGGCGAGCGUUGUCCGGAUUUAUUGGGCGUAAAGAGCUCGUAGGCGGUUCGGCAAGUCGGGUGUGAAAUUUCGAGGCUCAACCUCGAAACGCCACUCGAUACUGCUGUGACUGGAGUCCGGUAGGAGGAGUGUGGAAUUCCUGGUGUAGCGGUGAAAUGCGCAGAUAUCAGGAGGAACACCAACGGCGAAGGCAGCACUCUGGGCCGGUACUGACGCUGAGGAGCGAAAGCGUGGGGAGCAAACAGG